AAAAAAAAAAGAAAAUAGGGAUAGUGAUAGUAAGAAAAUUGUAUGGUUAUUAUUAAUAAUAAAUCAGUUGUCACAAUGCUUGGCAUAUAAAGGACUCAAUAAAUGUUAUUUUCACAAAGGAGAGAUCCCAGCUUGGAUAGGUUAGGAAUAGCUUUGAUGGAAAGACUGACAUUUCACCUUGACUGUCCAACUAUGACUAUUCAGUAGGUGGCUGAGGGCAGGGCAAAUGUGAGUGAGGGAAAUCAGUACACUUAAAGGGAUAGGAGCAGAAAACAACAAGGAGAGCUUUAGAGUGGGAUAUUAGGAGUGGUUAGAGUACAACGUACAUGGGGGAGUGGAAGGAUGAAUUACAAAAAUAGGCAGUUUCUAGGUAAUAGUGGACUUCAAAUGUCAUUCCAGAGUGAGGAUCCACUGAAGAGUUUCAAAGAGUUUAUUUUUGCGCUAUUGAGAGAUCACUCCUAUGGGGUCAUGCAACCAAUGGAUUGGAGAGCCAUAUUUGCUUUGCAAGAUGCCUAAAUAAAAUAAACAAGAAACCCUUCUGUUAUCCAGAAAAAGCUGGCUAAUGUAGAAUAGUUCUUUUAAAUGCAUUUCUGAGCUUGCAGGAAACACAAAGUAAUCUCCAGGUUGUAGAAACAAAAAUGAAAUCAAACACAAAACUGAGCCUUUGAAACUGUGCUGUAAUGCCUUGAAUGGUAGUGUGGGUAUUCUGAGUAAGAGGUAAAGCUCUGGUUUUUGCUUCCUAGGAGAUUGAUUUUUAGCCUUGUGCAGAAGAGAACUAGGACUUCUACAUAAAGCUGAGAUUUCUUCCCCCCUUGUGGAGCUGGAGAUCAAAUCCAAGGCAUUGCACAUGCUAGACAAGUGGUCAACCUCUGAAUUGAGCUCCCCUCUACCCCACGGUACUGGGAUUGUACUCAGGACCUCACCAGUGCUAGAUAACUUGUGGAUGAAGAACAAAAUCGAGUGGCAACUGAAGAUGUUAGGAAAAUAACAGCAGAUUAAACUAAAGGAAGUGAAAGAGGAAAGAAUAAAGAUGAGAGCAGAAAUCAAUGGAAUAGAAGAAAGUGAGAAGAGGAGUAACAAAUCAAAAUCCAAUUCAUUGGAAAUACCAUAAGUAGUUGAAAAGAUAACAUUCCUUGUAGCAAUUUCAUUAAUGUCUGCCGUAGGGAAACAAUAUGUAUGUAUAAAAACAUGUACAUUAAUGAUAUACAUUACAGCACUGUUCUACUGGAAAAAGGAUAGUAGCUGUCCUUGAUAGAGAAGGGAUAAAUGGUUUUGUUUGUUUUGGUACCGGGGAUUGAACUCGGGACCUUAUGCUUGCAAAGCAGGUGGCAGAACCACUGAGCUAAACCCCCGGCCCAUAAAUGGUUUUUAUAGCUGUUACAAUAAAUGAACUAGGUCUUUAUGUAUCAGCAUGGAUAAGUCUUGAAAAAUGUUAAAUGAAAAAAUAGCAAAAGGAUAUGUAUCAUUUGAUGUCAAUUAUAGAAAUAAAGUACACAUAAACAGUCAUGUUUUAGUAGGUAUAGGUGUGAAAUGAAGGGAAAAAAAUCAGCCAAUAUAAUUUUUUUCAAGGAGUUUGAUAAUGAAAGAAAUAGGGUGCACAAGACGGGAAGGGACUCUGCCUGCCUUGCAAGGGUAAGGUCCAGAGUUUGAUCCCUGGUACCAAAAAAAAAAAAAAAAAAAAA